UACAGAGGGUGCGAGCGUUAAUCGGAGUUACUGGGCGUAAAGGGCGCGUAGGUGGAUUGAUAAGUGAGAUGUGAAAUACCCGAGCUUAACUUGGGGGAGCCAUCUCAUACUGUGAGUCUAGAGUAUAGGAGAGGGAAGUGGAAUUUCCGGUGUAGCGGUGAAAUGCGUAGAUAUCGGAAGGAACACCCGUGGCGAAGGCGGCUUCCUGGCCUAAUACUGACACUGAGGCGCGAAAGCGUGGGUAGCGAACAGG
rnacentral:rRNA from 1 species